UAAUAAUAAUUAAACUGUUAUCUUCAUCACACAAUAGACAUGGGAGGUAUGUGAUAAUGUUUGAUUGUUUAUAUCUUUGUGAUUAUAUUGACAAUAAUCAAACUCAAUUUUGUCACAUGAUAG